UACGGAGGGUGCGAGCGUUGUCCGGAAUCACUGGGCGUAAAGGGCGCGUAGGCGGCUCGAUAAGGCUGUGGUGAAAGCCCGGGGCUCAACCUCGGAAUUGCAUCCGAUACUGCCGUGCUAGAGUACUGAAGAGGUGACUAGAAUUCUCGGUGUAGCAGUGAAAUGCGUAGAUAUCGAGAGGAAUACCAACGGCGAAGGCAGGUCACUGGGCAGUUACUGACACUGAGGCACGAAGGCCAGGGGGAGCAAAACGGGG
rnacentral:rRNA from 1 species